UACGGAGGGUGCGAGCGUUGUCCGGAAUCAUUGGGCGUAAAGGGCGCGUAGGUGGCGGGACAAGCGUGCGGUGAAAGCUCGGGGCUCAACCCCGGGUCGGCCGUGCGAACUGGGCUCACUGGAGCAUAGUAGAGGCAGGUGGAAUUCCGGGUGUAGCGGUGGAAUGCGUAGAGAUCCGGAAGAACACCGGUGGCGAAGGCGGCCUGCUGGGCUAUGGCUGACACUGAGGCGCGACAGCGUGGGGGAGCAAACAGGG
rnacentral:rRNA from 1 species